AAUCAUCAGUUUCAAUUCAUGGAUUGAGAUGGUCCUCAACUGGUCUUUAAUCAUCCCUGUGAAAUUGCUUUACUGAAGGGUGAAAAAUUUAUGUCAUCCUGAUUUUUCUUUUUUAUUUCUUUUUACAGCUUGCUUUUUUUUUUGUCAUACCCAUCUAAGGGUAUCAAAGGUCUGCCACUGGCAGCCAUUACUUUGAGAUUAGGUGCUAACAUCUAACAAGGUCGGGUUUAGCAGCUAGUUACCAAGCAUGUUGCCGUAAGUGUUCCAGCUAAUUGUUGGCAAAAUCAGACCCGCAUUGUCAUUGCAUCCUUUUAUAGUUAUUUCAAUGAAAUUAUUAGAGGGAAUUUAUGAAGAAUAUUAGUAGAUUUCCCUCAUGGAGCCUUUCUGCCAGUGCCAGGGACAAUCAUGGUUGAUUGUUGAAAGUCUCCAAACUGAGAGCUAUUCAUCUACGUAAGACUGCAAUCAGCAAAUGGGUACAAAUUGUUUCGCUUACCGUUUCUUUCUGGUCGCUGGCUCAAGCUGUCUUCUUCAUGAUGACUGAAGUUAUUAUAGAUCCCCCAAUAUAUAAAUAUAUCCUUCAUUUUGAGUCGUUGAAAAUUAGAUGGCCAAGGCAACGUUGUUUUUGUAGAUAUCUUUUAAGCUCAAUUCAUUUAAUAGUUGGCACUUAUCGUGGUGCCUAAUCCCCUUUUUCAAAAAUAUUAACACAAGAACCAUCAGCAUGAAUAACGAUUAUGAACAAAUUGAAGCAGGUGAUAGUGUUGAUUCCGGUAAAAUUAGAGACGCUUCAAAAUAAACCUUGAGCUGCUCACGGUGGUGUCUCUCUCUAUCAUCAAUGUGCAGUUGCCUUGUCAAACUGGCCAAUGCCAGAUGAUAGCCUUGUUCUUAUCUACGUAAGUUAGAACCGUAAUUGCAUCAAAG
rnacentral:misc_RNA from 1 species